rnacentral:rRNA from 1 species
CAAUAGCGUAUAUUUAAGUUGUUGCAGUUAAAAAGCUCGUAGUUGGAUUUCGGGUGGGACGCAGCGGUCUCGCAUUGCGUUUGUACUGCUGCAGCCCUCCUUCUUGCCGGGGGCGGCCUCUCGGACUUCACUGUCUGGGGGUCAGAAUCGGCGAUGUUACUUUGAGUAAAUUAGAGUGUUCAAAGCAAGCUUACGCUCUGAAUAUAAUAGCAUGGGAUAACACGACAGGACUCUGGCCUCUCGUGUUGGUCUAUAGGACCAGAGUAAUGAUUAAGAGGGACAGUCGGGGGCAUUCGUAUUCCGUUGUCAGAGGUGAAAUUCUUGGAUUUACGGAAGACGAACAUCUGCGAAAGCAUUUGCCAAGGAUGUUUUCAUUGA